GAUGAACGCUGGCGGCGUGCCUAAUACAUGCAAGUCGAGCGAAUGGAUUAAGAGCUUGCUCUUAUGAAGUUAGCGGCGGACGGGUGAGUAACACGUGGGUAACCUGCCCAUAAGACUGGGAUAACUCCGGGAAACCGGGGCUAAUACCGGAUAACAUUUUGAACCGCAUGGUUCGAAAUUGAAAGGCGGCUUCGGCUGUCACUUAUGGAUGGACCCGCGUCGCAUUAGCUAGUUGGUGAGGUAACGGCUCACCAAGGCAACGAUGCGUAGCCGACCUGAGAGGGUGAUCGGCCACACGGGGACUGAGACACGGCCCAGACUCCUACGGGAGGCAGCAGUAGGGAAUCUUCCGCAAUGGACGAAAGUCUGACGGAGCAACGCCGCGUGAGUGAGGAAGGCUUUCGGGUCGUAAAACUCUGUUGUUAGGGAAGAACAAGUGCUGGUUGAAUAAGCUGGCACCUUGACGGUACCUAACCAGAAAGCCACGGCUAACUACGUGCCAGCCGCCGCGGUAA
rnacentral:rRNA from 1 species